rfam:Ornithorhynchus anatinus chromosome 12, whole genome shotgun sequence.
CCCCUCUCAUGGUCGCGCCUGGAGAGUUAUAAGUAGUCUACCAGUCUCGACUAUGGGAGGGAGAGUCAAGCAGAGGCCUGUCCAUUCCAUUCCUAGCUUGGGCAGUGGCUAACGAGAGGAAGACAAUCUGCUACAAGU